GGCAAGUCUGGUGCCAGCAGCCGCGGUAAUUCCAGCUCCAAUAGCGUAUAUUAAAGUUGUUGCAGUUAAAAGCUCGUAGUUGGACCUUGGGCAAGAUGCAUCGGGUCAGUCGCAAGACUGGACUCGGUCGUCGCGCCUCUACUGGGGGACUCGUGGCCGCAAGGCGACGGGGCAACCUGCGUUACUGUGAAGAAAUUAGAGUGUUUAAAGCAGGCGAUCGCUUGAAUACAUCAGCAUGGAAUAACAAGACAAGACAUUGGGUCUUCUUGUUGGUUUGGGAGCAGUGUAAUGAUUAAUAGGGCCAGUUGGGGCAUUAGUAUUCAGUAGUCAGAGGUGAAAUUCUUGGACCGGACGAAGACGAUCAGCAGCGAAAGCAUCUGUCAGGGAUGUUUUCUGCGACAAAGGACGAAGGUCAGGGUAUCGAAGAUGAUCAGAUACCGU
rnacentral:rRNA from 1 species